rnacentral:lncRNA from 1 species
AGGAGACCAUAGGUGGGGAGAGGGAGCAGUAGAAAGGGCAGUAUGGUGCCUGUGAUUUGCAGGAUGUCUUAGCUAGGGUUUCUAUUGCUGUGAUAAGCACCAUGACCAAAAGCAAGUUGGGGAGGAAAGGGUUUAUUCAGCUUACACUUCCAGGUAACAGCCCAUUACUGCUGUUGACAGUUUUCUCUGGGGAGAUGUGUCUGGGCUUGCAGUCCUCUCCCAGCAUAAAACUUGGUGGCAGCCUGAUUUCUCUGAACUGGAGGUCACCUUUUAAGUUGGCAGGAGCAGUAUCUAACAGGACAGCUUUCUGCUGUAGGUCUUCUUCCAUUGGAGGUUGCAGGGAUUGAACUCAGGUAGCCAGGCUUGCACAAUUGCAGACCGCCUUGAUCCUUCGGCCUCCAUGGACAAAUACGAGGCUCUCUGCUUCCUCAAGGACCAUCAGUGAAGCUGAUCUCAAAGUGGGAGCUUGACCAGUAAUGUGGAUGAACUAUAUCUGACGUGAGCCCAUCACAAAAUCGGUCCCUCUCCGUUUAUCAUCCGAACCUGAGAACGGGAGCCUUCACGUGGGUGGGCCACCAUGAACUGGGAUGACGAUCCACCCUGGAGAAGGACAGGGGAGAGGUGGCCCUGGGAAUCCAGAGGAUAUCCACCGAUUACCGUUUGGAUGCCUGGCCUCGGUGGGGAAUCAUGGCUCCUAUUUCUGUAUAACGAAAGUCUUGAGCCAGGAUCAAGAUGUGAGCUCUCAGCUGUUCCCGCUGCCAUGCCAUUGCUGUGCCUUCAUGGACUCUAACCUUCUGAAUUCCUGAGCUUCUGGCUUCUUGCUGGCAUCUUCUCCAGACAGAAACAUUGGACUUAUGCCACAAACUCCACAAGUACAUGUGACCUGAGGACAACUCCCCUCCUGGGAAGAGCACUAGACCUACACCAGUAACUCCACCUAUCCUGGAGACCCACCUAUGCCACAAAGGCCACAUGUCUUACACCUGCUUCUUCUCCAGGCUUCAGUCUCUCCUGCAGGGUGGCCAGACAAGUUACCGGAAUGGUGAAAUUUCUUCCUGGAAGACAAGCUCCUUCUUUGAUAUAGGACAUCAUGAUGUUGGCUCAAUUUCGGUAUCUUAGUGUCUGCAUGGGACCUGCAGCUGAGUGAGACAUGCUGUAAGGUGAUCCUGGCUCCACUAAAGCUCAGACUGAAAUCCCAGACUUGCUAUGCUGUCCUCAACAAGGCUGGAGAAUCCUGAGACUUCCUAUCUUCGAUAGUCUCCUAGAUGCACUGGAGGGGUACCAGGACUGCCAUACCCAGUGACUCCAACCUGCA